rnacentral:tRNA from 1 species
GCCGAAGUAGCUCAGUUGGGAGAGCGUUAGACUAUAGAUCGAAAAGUCCCUGAUUCGAUCUCGGGUUCCGGCA